rnacentral:sRNA from 1 species
CUUUAUAAACAAUUAGUUCUGUUAUCUUGUGUCCAUUGGAUCUUCACUAAUCUCAUCCUUUUCAUUUUUCAGUGUAGCAGUUUCUUCAUCACCCUUGUUAAUUUCUUCCUGCUUCAUAUUGGGAGGUGGUGGUAAUGUUUUCGUCACCAGGUCAACUAUUUCGGUCACCUCUUCAUCUGGAAAACGCCCCUCACAAUUCUCUAUGAUCUGUGUAAUCAAACUGAUUAAUUACAGUUUCGAAAGGGUAGCUAUUCAAAUAGACUGAAUUCUUUAGCCACAAAAUUAUUAUCAAACACUCUUUAAUUUUUUGGAUUAAAAAUUCAAGCAUUCCUAUUUCAUAUGCAUAGUAAAAAAUGGCAGACUUGCAAACCUGAUGAUUCCAAACACCUUGCUCCUUAGACAAACACAAUUAAUUAAUCAGGAGUUAACAUAUCCAAAAGCAAAUCUCACAAGAAUAUGAAAAUCAGGGCUAAAAAAG